UCAUUCCAUAGUGCGGAACGUAGCUCCGUCUCAGAUUCAGUUUUAAGUGUAAAAAUUACUGCAAAAGUGAAUCUACUUUUACUAAAUACUGCAUUAGUUUGUCCCAAAAGAUGAAGACAGUUAUCAUCAAGAAGCAUAACCUCACUCAAUAUCGAAGAGGCAUGACUGCGACGGAAAUGGAGGAAGGUUCGGUACAUCGGUGUUAACGGUGAAAAGUAAGCCCGUAAAGGGUGAGUCGAAUCCGGAGUACGGAAGAAAUACGAGCAUCCGCCCAGGCCAGUAGUUCAGAAGCUAAAGCUCUUCCCAACGGACCACGGAUGAUGUUGGCAACGCGUUGCGUUGUAGCAACUCUGGAAACAACGGUCUGCCUCCUAGUGAAACUAAUUACGAGGCGAUCUUUUGAUAUUUGGUAUCAAGAGAACAAUCCGCUUAAUAACAACGUAACGAUACUAAGCCGUUGAAAUAAGCAAGGUACGUAUACAAUAAUGUGCAUGUAUGAUAUUUUGAUGCGGGUAAUAUAUUGUACGAGCCCGUUAGCUGGAAACUUCGUUAAAAUACGUUUCACUGCAUGAACUUGUUGACCGAGUCUGCGUAUACAGGUCGUUCCAUUCAUCCGGAGUGCCUCUAUGCUUCUGUAAAAAGCUGAAAGCGCUCAGAAGUAUCGUACGAGCUGCGAGAAAAUAUUGACAGAUGGAUUGGAAUUUGUGAUAUAGACGUCGGUCUGGUCAAAGUUCAACGUCUACAGUUGAAACUUACGCCAUUAGCAUAGUACAAAGAGAACCUAAUAGACCAGUAUCAUGAACAGCGGCUAUUAAGACCUCCAACUGACAACACGCAGCUCUAUCGACGAAAAUGACGGCGUACGAAAGUUUCGAAGAAAAGUUUUUGUUAACCACUUCCAUGGGGAUAACGACUUCGACGAUGCCCGCCACGAGCUUCAGCUUUUAUUCUCCUUUUGCCAGUCGUUAUUCUUUCCCUACCCCAGCAACAAACACGUAAUAGCCGGCUCUUUUUUCCCCAGUCCAACUUUUUCCGCGCAGUUCUUUAUUCCUCGUCGCUGUGGACGAACUGUUAAUAUACCGUGUCUACGUGACAGCGAAACUUCGCAACUUCCCUUCCUUUUUUUUUUCCUCUAUUCAAACAGAACGCUGGACCUUCUCGUGCAGAAAUUCUAAUUUCGAUUUGAUCGCUAGUGUAAGAAAUUGUCGGAACGUGUUCGAUUCGCUUCGAGACAAAGUCGAUCGCCCGGUCGAAACCCGACUUGUCACUAGCAGGGAACCAUGGCGCGCGGUUUCGAGUUUUCCGCCGAUUCGAAAACGGUUUUUAGUCCGCGCUGGUCCGCGGCGAGUAACAACUUCGGCGACGUGUUCGCCGCGUUAUGGCUGUGACACACAUCACGUAACUUUCUACGAGUUUUUAUCGGCGCUCGGUGAAAACGGCUGAUUUCCAGCGUAGCGGCUACAGCGCGCGCGCGCUUCCCCGUCGGGAUAUUUAUUGUCUCGCGUCGCCGGGAAACUCGUACCGCGAAAAACUUCGUCUCGUGGGUCUAGUCAAAUUUCCGAGCGCGUCGCGUUUUUCCGAGUCGGCUUUUUCCGCGCCGCGCUCCCGAGACGACGGCGUUUCGGCGCAGCCGUUCCUUUGAACCGUCUCGUUUUCAUAUCACGGCGAAUUCGCUUCGGGAAACCGUAACGCUAUACGACGUUAGCUACGACCGAAUAGAAAAGCGAGCCACGGUAAUAGGCGCGAGCAUGCCGUUAAGUAAGAACGCUGGUAUCCAUUACGCGCUGUUAACGAUAAAACGUUUUACUGGUUAUAUGCCGGCCCCCGUUUCACCAGUCAUUACGUAUUCGUGACGGGAUUUAAUAUCGCGAAAAUCUUUCGACGCAAUUUCACUGAAUAUUACCUUCAACGAAUUAGCCGUUAAUUAGUGGCAACAAAUUAUUCCGACCUUUGCCGGGAUACAGAAUAAUACAUGGGAAUCAUUUUUAUUUGCAAAGUGGCAUGUAUAUGUACAGGUAAACGCUGUGUAUGUGUUUCCUACGAUUUAAACUGUACCGGGACAAGCGACCGCAUCGUCCAGUUCUCCGGUUCACUGUUACCCGCUUUAGAACUCAAUUAUCUAAUUCACCAUAGUUGUAUUAGGUAUCGUCGAAAGUUUGUUAAUGUAUAUACAAACACUUGCUGCGAUUCCACCGGGUCCGUGUUAUAUACCACACAUUUCGCUAAUUGAAUUUACGAUACCACGACGAUUUUAGUAAAAUAAUUAUGAUAACGAGUGUAAUUUACAAUUAGAAUAAAAGGCACUUUAGUACUUGUGAACGUCCAGGGGUUGAAAUGAGGUUCGUUUAAUGAGGAUGAACAAUUCAUCGUUAAUAAUUCUCGUUACAUAUAAUUAUACGGGUUGGCACUUUAAAAUUUCUUCGGCUUAUUAUGAUGUAAAAAAUAUUUUUGUAAAAAAUAAAUAUUGCAUAUUUCGUAUUUUGAUAAUUUUUAAAAAGACUUGCUCGGUCACACUUUCGAUAGGUAAAUUCAACGAGCGACGAACCGGCGAGUGGUGAUUAACUUGACAGCGUCGGCACUUGGGAUCGUCACGUUCCUUUUACUCUCCAUAAAUCAACAUCUCCCGGCGCGCUUAAAGAAAGCCGAGUUGUUCGUAGAGAUCGGUAUUGUUUAAUUUCUGAACAAUGCAAAUAUUUGUCACCGUUCCGUGUGAAAUCGUCGCCGGAGAAUUAUAUGUACACGUACACUGCGCCUCGGAGUUUACGUAUCCGAUACGAGUUGUUUGCUUAAUCGCGACCGACUGGCAACGAUACUUCUCUUUACGUUAAAUCCCCGAAUCCUGUAAUAAAUGCGUUUCCUUAAACGUGAGGAAACCCGAGUUUCCCGAAAUGUCUAACGUGUACAACACAAAUGUCUUAAAGCUUAGAAUAUUUAUCAUUGUAUUAUAUUGUACAAAAGAGAACGAUUGUAAAAACGAAAUAAAAAAAAUUCUAGUGAA